UAUAGAACAAAUAAGUUCGAGAAAAUGUUUGUCCUUAGCAUGUCAGUUAAUUAAAAUAAAACACAGAAACUUCAUACAGUUCAGCAAAGGACAUCUUGAUUUGUGCUUUGGAGAAUCUAUUGAGUUUUUUUGGUUACUGAGUAAUAGUUUAGUUAGAUGUGUUGCUAUAGCUAUACAUUCUUCCAUCUUAUGUUUUCAAAAUAUUAAGUGUCCUCAUUUAUUUUUUGUGUAAUUGAGAAUAAACUGAAAUCAAGUAAUACACAUUCUCUCAUAAAAAUAAAUAUACUCGGUCAUUGAAUUGUAAAGUGUGGAUCCCAGGAUGAUAUCAUCAUCACCUGGAAACUUGUUAGAAAUACACAUUCUUGUCCCCUGACCAAAAUCUAUUGAAUGAGAAACUCUGAGGGUGAAGCCCAGCAUUUUAAAAUCUAAAAAUCCAUGUUUUAACCCAUUUGGGGAUACUAAAUAAACUGCUGUAGUCCUUCAAUAAGCCCAUCACACAUUUUCACCAUGUCAUCUAUAGGCACUUUUUCUACGGUGUUAACAUCAUCUUCAUCAUCACUAUUAUCAUAAUCACCUUGAUUAAGAACCAUUUUGGCUAUUUCCCCAUGGAUCAAUGAAUGAAUAAUUAGAGCCGCAUUAUUGCUGGUAAAAACUUACAUGACAUCUGUUUCUUCCAUCUUACUGCCAGACUCUGAAGGUGUAUUUUUUUGUAUAUGUAUGGAGGUCAGACAUUAUUUUUUUUCUCAUGUGACAUAUAGAAACCUUCAAAGUCACCACUUUGUUCAUCACCAUCACUGAACAUAGUUAUAGCCCAGAGGUUGUGCCAGGCAUGCACAACUGUGUAUUUGUCACUGUAUUCCAAACAUGGGCAUUCUUCGUGCUAAACUCCUUUUGAAAACUUUCCACACUCAUGCCUCUGUUCACUGUUGCUAGCAUGCUGAUCAAGAAACUUUUUAUAUUUAUUCUUUAUUGAUCCAAGAACACCCUAGUCACAUGGAUGAAUUAAUGAAGUCACAAUUAGGGUAAAAUACAUGACCUAAACAUUUUUAAUGAGAAUUUCUGCUGGAUGAUGAGCAGAAUCCUUAUCAAGCAGUGCCAAAAUCUUGCAGUCGUUAAUCAUUCAGUCUAGAUUCCCUACAGCAAGCAAGAGCCACUAGUACCAAAUGUUUGUGAAACCAAUCAGAAAAGAUAUCCCUAAUUCUCUAUGCCUUUUUGUUAGCAUAAUAAUUUACUGGAAAGAAAUUUACUCCUUGAAAACAACAAGGAUAUAAGCUUUUGUCUAUCAUAGCAAGGUUUUCUUUAUGCAUGCGUGCUGCAUUAGCACAUCCCAGAACAGUUAUUCUGUCCUUAGCAUCCUUAAUUCCUAUUGAAGCUGUCUCACCAGCUGUAGUCAGUGUUUUUCUGGUGCAAUAAUGCCGAAACAGUGAUGUUUCAUCAGCAUUACAGACCUGUCCUGGUAUCAGAUUUUCAUCAGUGAUGACCUUAGUAACCUCAUCAGUGAAUAUCUCCCUUGCUUCAUGAUCAGGAAAUGGUACAAAUCUUCAAAACCUUAACGCUGUGCUUUUUCUUAAAUUUAUGCAACUAGCCUGUUGAAUGUUCACAGUUCCCUUCAAUUUUCAGUUCAUCGUGAUAGAUCUUUGCAAGUUUCAUGUUCAGCAUACCAUUAAGUGGCAUGUAUUCACUGUGACACUGAUGGUUCCAUUCUUUCAAUACAUAUUCAAGGACUUCAUAUUUCACUCCAUGCAUUGCUUUUCUAUUUUUCAUUAACUUCUGUUCAUCACUUUCAGCAUAGAACUUCCAACAAUGUAUCCUUCUCUUUCUUCAGGUCAUACAUGGUGGUCACUCCAACACUAUACUCUUCUAUAAGACAUUUUCCACUUAUACCACCAUCCAGUUUCUUCAACAGCUUGACUUUCUGUGCUAUAGAUAAGUAUAAAUGCUUCCUCUUUUCUUUACUACUGUUACUCAUAAGGGUAUCUGCAGAUCUUUCUACAUUUUCCACAAUACCUUUAUACCACAGAGAAGAGAAUAAGCAAAACAAAACAACAUAAUGAGUAAGGCAUGUAGGUCUUGGCCUCAUGUAGGGCAUCACAGGCAACCCGCCAUUGGUGUGUCUUGCCUGACAUGUGCCAUUUUAUUACCCUUUGUGGAUGUGCCUGCAUGACGAAGUCUGGGGCAUGUGUGGAAAAGAUACUUCACAGCUGAAGGGGGCUGGGAGGGUCUCUUUGGAGACAUUAAGUAAACUGUGUGUUGUGUAUCUGCAUUUUGACUGUGAUCCAUCAUAUGAGGUCAGGUGUGGAAUUUUCAACUUGUGACUUCGUGUCAGCACUCAAAAAGUUUUGGAUUUGGGGGAAUUUCAGUUUUGGAUUUUCAGAUUAGGGAUGGUUAAGAUGUAAUUUCAUUAUGAGUAAAUAGAUUAAAUACUCCAACCAAAAGGCAGAGAUUGUCAGGCUGGAUUUUGAAAAGCAAGAUCCAACUAUCUUCUGUCUACAAGAGACAAGCUUUUGCUUUUCCCUUUUUUUUUUUUUUUUUUUUUUUUUUUUUUUUUUUUUUUUUUUUUUUGAGUUGGAGUCUCACUCUGUCAGCCAGGCUGGAGUACAGUGUUGGGAUCUUGGCUCCAAGCAACCUCCACCUCCUGGAUUCAAGUGAUUCUCCUGCCUUAUCCUCCUAAGUAGCUGGGAUUACAGGUGCCCACCACCAUACUGGCUCAUUUUUGUAUUAUUGAUAGAGGCAGGGUUUCACCAUGUUGGCCAGGCUGGUCUUGAGCUCCUGACCUCAGGUGAUCCACUCACCUUGGCCUCCCAAAGUGCUGGGAUUAUAGGCAUGAGCCACCACAGGUUGCCAUGAGACAGACUUUAGAUUCAAAAAUUUAGUCUGAAAGUUAAAAGGAUGGAAAAUGAUAUAUCAUACAAACAGUAACCAUUAAAGACCUGCAGUGAAUACACUAAUAUUAGACAAAAUACACUUUGAGACAAAAAUAAAUAAAAUACUUGAGACAAAGAGUACAUUUCAUAAUGAUAAGGGGGUUAAUUCAACAGGAAAAUAGAAAAGUUAUAUAUAUACCUCAGAUUUCCCCAAGUACAUGGAGCAAUAAAUCACAGAACUAAAGAGAGAUAUAGACAAUAAUAAUUGGAGACUUCAACACCCCAAUCUCGAUAAUUGAUGAACAACUAGAUACAAAAUUAGCAAGGAUAUGUUUUGUAUCACUUAACACUUACACAACACGAUCAGCAGACUACUGAUCCACCAACUCUAUCCACCAAACAAAAGCAGAAUAGACAUUCCUCACAAGCACACACAGACUGUCCUCCAAAAUAGACCAUAUUCUAGGCCAUAAAACACAUCUGAAUAGAUUUAAAAGGAAUAAAAUCACAUAAAGUACGUUCUUUGACUGUAACAGAUAAAUGAGAAACCACCAACAGAAGGUAAAAUCCUUUUGUGGUGAUGGAAACAUUCUAAGACUAGAUUGUGGUGCAAGUGAGCAACUCAUUUACUAAAAAUAAUCAUUGAAUUAUAUACUUAAACUAUAAAUUUUAUAUGUAAAUUAUACCUCAAAGCUGUUAAGAAAUGAAUGAAAGGAGAAGCACAUUCACUAUAGCAACAAAACUUUAAGAAUACCUUUACUAAGGAAUAUUUGUGACCUAUAGGAAUAAAAAGUGAUUAAGCUUUGAAAGAAUUAAAAAGAGAUAAAUAAUAGACAAACUAUGUUUCCAUAUAUCAAAAAUAAUACUUCCAAAUGUCAGUUACCUCCAAAUUAUAGAUUUGACACAAUUUUAGUAAAAAUCAUAAUGAAAGUUUGAUUUUCUGACUUAAAAUCAUUCUAAAGUUUAUCUGGAAGAUUAAAAACACACAAAAAUUCACAGAAUAUUUUGAAAGGAAGAGAAAUGAAUUACACAAGCUAUGGUAGACACUGAACCAUAUUUUAAAGCUACACUGUACUAGCUAAAAUAUAAUAUGGAUAUAGGAGUAGAAGAUUAAACAAAAUAAGAAAUAAAACAUUUUAUUUGUUUUUAGUAUGUAUUAAAAAUACAUUGCCAAACAUUUUGAAAUGGAUAAUUCAAUAAUUUUUAUUGAUAUAAAGAGUUGCAUUUGAUCUAGCAGUUAUACUUCUGGGAAUUUUUUUAAUGGAAAUAAUCCUGAAACUGGGUGAGGCAAAUAUGAAUUCCAGUUUCAUUCGUAAAUGUACAAAAUUGGAAACAACCUAAACACCUAGGUAGGAGAUUAGUCAAAAUAAUCAUAAUUGUAGUUGUUUAACUUACAACUCAGAAGUAGGCAUCUUAUGCAGUUAUUAAAGUAAUUUUAAGUAGCAUGUGAAUAUAAGAAAUAAUGCUUAUAAAUUUUAUGUUAAAUGACAUAGGACGUAAAGGUAUAUAAAUAGUGUGAAUAUAAGUAUAUAAGCAAAACAA
rnacentral:lncRNA from 1 species